rnacentral:rRNA from 1 species
UACGGAGGGUGCGAGCGUUGUCCGGAAUCACUGGGCGUAAAGGGCGCGUAGGCGGCCUGGUAAGUAGGGGGUGAAAUCCUGCGGCUUAACCGCAGGGCCGCCUUCUAAACUGUCAGGCUCGAGCACGGUAGAGGCAGAUGGAAUUCCCGGUGUAGCGGUGGAAUGCGUAGAGAUCGGGAAGAACAUCAGUGGCGAAGGCGGUCUGCUGGGCCGUUGCUGACGCUGAGGCGCGACAGCGUGGGGAGCAAACAGGGAAUUACGAGUACCGUUGCAUAGAUGACCAGACCCUAAGUCUAC